AAUAUUGGACAAUGGGGGCAACCCUGAUCCAGCCAUGCCGCGUGUGUGAAGAAGGUCUUCGGAUUNUCAAGCACUUUAAGUUGGGGNGAAGGGCUUUAGGCUAAUACCCUGAAGUUUUGACGUUACCAACCGAAUAAGCAACGGCUAACUCCGUCCCAGCAGCAGCGGUAAUACAGAGGGUGCAAGCGUUAAUCGGAAUUACUGGGCGUAAAGAGAGCGUAGGUGGUUCAGUAAGAUGGGUGUGAAUUCCACGGGAUUAACCAAGGAACUGAUUUCAUUACUGCUGGGCUAGAGUAAGGUAGAGGGUAGUGGAAUUUCCUGUGUAGCGGUGAAAUGCGUAGAUAUAGGAAGGAACACCAGUGGCGAAGGCGACUACCUGGACUGAUACUGACACUGAGGUGCGAAAGCGUGGGGAGCAAACAGG
rnacentral:rRNA from 1 species